UACGGAGGAUGCGAGCGUUAUCCGGAUUUAUUGGGUUUAAAGGGUGCGCAGGCGGAUUUUUAAGUCAGCGGUCAAAUCGUGGGGCUCAACCCCAUCCAGCCGUUGAAACUGGGGAUCUAGAGUGUGCGAGAGGUAUGCGGAAUGCGUGGUGUAGCGGUGAAAUGCAUAGAUAUCACGCAGAACCCCGAUUGCGAAGGCAGCAUACCGGUGCACAACUGACGCUCAGGCACGAAAGCGUGAGUAUCGAACAGG
rnacentral:rRNA from 1 species